rnacentral:rRNA from 1 species
UGGGGAAUUUUGCGCAAUGGGCGAAAGCCUGACGCAGCAACGCCGCGUGGGUGAUGAAGGUCUUCGGAUCGUAAAACCCUGUCGUCGGGGACGAAGGUUUGGGGUUGAACAGGCCCCAGGCUUGACGGUACCCGGAGAGGAAGCCCCGGCUAACUCUGUGCCAGCAGCCGCGGUAAUACAGAGGGGGCAAGCGUUAUUCGGAAUUAUUGGGCGUAAAGGGCGCGUAGGCGGUGUUUUAAGUGAGAUGUGCAAUCCCCGGGCUUAACCUGGGAACUGCAUCUCAGACUGGAACGCUGGAGUACUGGAGAGGGUGGUAGAAUUCCACGUGUAGCGGUGAAAUGCGUAGAGAUGUGGAGGAAUACCAGUGGCGAAGGCGGCCACCUGGACAGUAACUGACGCUGAGGCGCGAAAGUGUGGGUAGCAAACA